rnacentral:rRNA from 1 species
UACGUAGGGGGCUAGCGUUGUCCGGAAUCAUUGGGCGUAAAGAGCGCGUAGGCGGCUGGAAUAGUCCGGUGUGAAAUCCACAGGCUUAACCUGUGAAUGCCGCUGGAAACUGUCUGGCUAGAGUCCGGAAGGGGCGAGUGGAAUUCCUGGUGUAGCGGUGAAAUGCGCAGAUAUCAGGAGGAACACCGAUGGCGAAGGCAAUCCCCUGGGCCUGCACUGACGCUCAUGCACGAAAGCGUGGGGAGCAAACAGG